rnacentral:lncRNA from 1 species
AUUGUGACUUGUAUUUUGUGAUGAGUCUCUAGAAUGAUUAAAUGACUAUUUUUUUAUGAAAAAUUUUUUGUUAAUAAAAUAUCUGAGGGUAUUUUGAGUAUGUGGAAGGAAUGCCUGAAUAGAAGCUGAUCUAUCUUAACAUACCUCAAGAACUCCAGUUUUAAUAUGGUGAGUGAGGAGUUGACUGGGAAAAGGAGAGAUCCAAUUCUUGUUCUAGUCCUUGGCACAUACACUCUCUGGGUUUUGAGAAAAGGAUGGUCCUACAACGAUUCUAAGUUGUUUUCUCAUUGGUCCUACAACAAUUCUAAGUUGUUUUCUCAAAGGCAAAAGCAUGAUUUCAAAAUGACAUCACUUGUCAGAUUUUCUGGUGUAUGGAAAGAUUUAAUAAUCCUGCCUCUUUUGAAGCCUGAAACUUACAAUUUAAAGCCUGAAAUCUACCAUAAGGAACUUGGUAAAUUGUGUCAGAUACCAUGAAAAUGCAUCUUUUCAUAGUUAACCACAGAUUGUUUAUGUAAAGGCAAAUUGGUGGUCAGGUUCAAGGUAAAAUGGAUUAUUGGGUUGAUUAGUAGCCAAAAACUAAAUGCAUGUUCAGGUCAAAAUGAAUUUGUUUGUUUUAGUUGGUGCCAUUUUCCUUUUAUUAUUCAGAACUACAGAGUGUGCAUUUUAUUAAUAGGAAUGAAAGCUCAUGCUUGAGGAUUUGAAUAGGGUGGAUGUAUAUAUUUUAUAAACUCAAGUUGCAAAAUAUGUAAAGUCACUACUUUUUAAAUAGAAUAUAAAUGUUAAAACAGACAAAUCUAUGUUAUAUAUUUUUUAAUACAUGUAUCAGACUUGUUAGUUGAAUGCAGAUUACUUUGCUUUAUGGAAUUUCAUAACUUUUAAUAAUAAAGCAGUUGUUAUUGGAUUUUUUCUGUAGACUUGAAUACUAAAUGGGAUAGAUACCAGACCUCUUUUUGGUUUAUGACGUAAAAGUAUUUGUACAGUAGUUUCUCUUCACAAAAGACUGAAUUUUAAAGGAUUAUAGAAACAGGAACAUGUCCAUUUCCAAAAUGAGUGCAACAGAAUGAAGAUAGUCACUUAAACCAUCUAUUUAACACAUCACCUUUAUGUAAUAUGUAGCUAGUUUUAGUGUUUUAAUAAGUCCCAACUAAAGACUGAGUGUUUUCAGUGAAGAUGGAAAUGGAGACCCAGGCACUUGCUUAGAGUUAUCGUGAGUCCGAUGUUCCUGAACUUCAAGUUGUACAAUUAAGGGCAUACUCUAAGAACUUCUGGAUGCUUUCUGGAGUAUACAAACAGAUCAACUAAUGACUUAAAUGAGUGACUCUUGAAGCUGCAAGAAGAGGAAAGAAAUAACCACAAGAAGGGGCUAUCUCAGCAUCUGUUAUUCCUGACAGGAGGAAUUAAAUAUGCUCUGCUGGUAAUUCUAAGCUUUUCUGCAGGGGAUCUGCUUGCCCCAGGAGCACCUUAGUCCUCAUUGAGGCAGCCAUUCUGCCAUAAAAACGAUCAUGUCUCAAGCUGUUCCUGCCGUCCUACACAACUAUGUUAGUAGAUGGUUAGAUAAAUAUAUGAACCAUCUUUUGUACUUUGAUGAUGCCCUUUUCCUUUAUUAUAAUCCUUAAUUUCUACUUUCCAUAGUAGGAUUUGACUUUUCUCCAUUAGUUUAAGCUACCCUGGAUAAGUGACUCUGUUUAUGUCCUCCCUAUAUUUCUUACUCAUUUUCACACUAACAUAACACGUAACAAAAUUAAACAUAAGCUAAAUUGAAGAAGCAAGUGAGACAGCUAAGAGUUUUGUGUACUUGGACAACAAAGCUCAAAGCCACUGUGGUUAUCUGUCCUGUUGGGAGCCCCUUUCAACCAUUUUUUUAGUUGCCUGUAAGAUUUAUUUUUAAUGUUUGCCUGCAUAAUGCAAAAUACAUAAGUGGGAAUCCCUACGCCCUUUACAGUUAAGUGGAUUAUGGAAAUAAUAAGGAAAGUUUAUCAACUAAGGUAGGAAAUAUCUUCUCAUGUCUGUAUCUGGCCUUCAGGGACUUAAUGUGGGUGAAUAUAUGUCAUUAGACAAGAUCCUAAUAUAGAUGGCUGUAUCCUGCAGAUAGCCAAUUCAACAUUAAAAUUUUAUGUUUCCAUACCUCAAUGAAAACAUAUUUCUUUUAUCCUGUUAUAAUUUAAUGACAUUCCCAUCCAACUUAAUCAAGCAAUGAUACUCAGUAGUCCUCUCCUUGCAUUUUUCAAGUCCUGUUGAGUGUAACUUUAAAAUGUCUCUGAGAUUUCUACCUUCUCUCCAGUCUCCUUACCAUUAGGGCCUUUCACUACCUGGCCUUGGUGUCCCUAGGCUGCUCUUCAGCUGUCCACAAACCUUGUUUCAUAAGCAGUAGCAAUGCAAGCUUCCACUGCCGUCUGCUAAUGUUCUUCCCUCCUAGAAUGUUCAUGAUCUGCGUUUCUACCUGAAAGGUCUAGUUCAAAGGUAGCUGAAAGGUUAUCAUCCUUGUCCUUUCUUCUCUCCCUACCAGUCAUCUAUCCUGAACUUUUUAACAGUAGGGACAGUGUUGCAAUUGUGUUUGUGUCCCCAGCACGUAGCACACAGUACCUAGUAUACAGUACCUGUAGCACAUAGGCAUUUAAUAAGUGUGUAUUGAAUUAACUUGGUUAUGCUUGUAUUUUUAUCCUAGCUUUCUCAAAGAAACUUAGGUGCUAGCUAUUUUGAAACAUAUAUCCAGAACCACCACCUGAGUAAAAUGUAUAACAGGACCCUGCUCUUUCUAUCCCAGAGAGUUUGAGAAAACUACUUUUAAAUAAAUCAUUAAUCAUUCUUC